rnacentral:misc_RNA from 1 species
GAUGAAGAACGCAGCGAAAUGCGAUAAGUAAUGUGAAUUGCAGAAUUCCGAGAAUCAUCGAAUCUUUGAACGCACAUUGCGCCCUCUGGUAUUCCGGGGGGCAUGCCUGUCCGAGCGUCAUUUGCAACCCUCAAGCCCGGCUUGUGUGAUGGGUGCCGUCCCCUACGGGACGCGCCCCGAAGGCAAUGGCGGCGUCGCGGUUAUCCGAUCAGCCAAAGUGUAUGGGGCUUUGUCACUCACUUUACGGCCCGGACCGGCGCCAGUCCGAAUCAAUCUUUUUUCUAAAGUUGACCUCGGAUCAGGUAGGGAUACCCGCUGAACUUAAGCAUAUCAAUAAGCGGAGGA